rnacentral:rRNA from 1 species
UACGGAGGGUGCAAGCGUUAUUCGGAUUUAUUGGGUUUAAAGGGUGCGUAGGCUGCGCGGUGUGUCGGUGGUUAAAGGUAGCCGCUUAACGGUUUUACAUGCCAUCGAAACUGCCGUGCUUGAGUGAUCUGGAGGCAGCGAGAAUUCCCUGUGUAGCGGUGAAAUGCAUAGAUACGGGGAGGAAUACCGAUUGCGAAGGCCCGUUGCUACGGAUCAACUGACGCUGAGGCACGAAAGCGUGGGGAUCAAACAGGAUUAGAUACCCUGGUAGUCCACGCCGUAAACGAUGAUUACUAUCUGCCGGUACGCAAAAGUAUCGGUGGCCAAGGGAAACCGAUAAGUAAUCCACCUGGGGAGUACGUUCGCAAGAAUGAA